rnacentral:rRNA from 1 species
CCAGUAACGGCGAGUGAAAAGGGAAAAGUCCAUCGCUAAAUCGUUUUGCCUCAGGCAUUAUGAGGUGUAGCGUAUAAGUCGUAAACUUUGAUCUUUUGUCUCAAACAAGUCCCCUUGACAGAGGUUCCACAGAAGGUGCAAGUCCUGUACGUUGAGAUAAUUGAUCGAUAUUUGCGUGCUUUAGAGUCGGGUUGUUUGGGAUCGCAGCCCAAAGUCGGUGGUAAACUUCAUCUAAGACUYAAUAUUGCCACGAGACCGAUAGCAAACAAGUACUGUGAAGGAAAGUUGCAAAGCACUUUGAAGAGAGAGUUAAAGAGGACGUGAAACCGGURAGGUGGAAACGGAUAGAGUCGGCGUAUCWUUCAAKUAUUCAGUUACAUUAUUUUUAUGUUGUGAYCUCUGAGCUCCAGAUUGGGACAGAGGGAAUCAGCAUAAUUUUUUGUGRUGCAUUUACUUGAUUGGUGCUUGGGGAUGUUUGAGGCAGAUUUGUUUCCGUCGUUUUGAGGCCAGCUUGCUGGUACCCAAACGGUGUUAGCAUUUUUUGUCUUGGGCAUUUGAGUAUGGCUCACGUGYAUUUAUUGGACAGAUCUGAGUGUAAGUUACGGUCGCAUGCGACACGUGCUUUUCAAUUAGUUCGGUCCAGUUAAUGCUCUCGUACUCGUUCCCCAUGUAAAAGCCGGUCAUCUAUCCGACCCGUCUUGAAACACGGACCAAGGAGUUUAUCGUGUGCGCAAGUUUUUGGGUGUUAAAAACYUAAAAGCGAAAUGAAAGUAAAUGACUCUUUAGAGUCUGAUGUGCGAUCUUGUAAAAAAGUGYAGCAUGGCCCCAUUCUAACUGUUUACAGUAGGGUGGCGGAAGAGCGUACGCGGUGAGACCCGAAAGAUGGUGAACUAUUCCUGAGCAGGACGAAGCCAGAGGAAACUCUGGU